CACGAACGCUCGCGGCAUGCCUAACCCAUUCAAGUCGACCGACUCUACCUGGCCCAAUGGCGCACGGGUGCGUGACCCGUGCGAACCCGCCCUCAGAAUCGCAAUUACUCGCCGCAAGGGGUCCUACUACCGGAGAAUGUCUUCGGCCCAAAGAUUUAUCGCCUUUGGAUGGGCCCGCGUUGGAUUAGCUAGUUGGUAGGGUAAAAGACUACCAAGGCGACGAUCCAUAGCUGGUCUGAGAGGAUGAUCAGCCACACUGGGACUGAGACACGGCCCAGACUCCUACGGGAGGCAGCAGUGGGGAAUAUUGGACAAUGGGCGAAAGCCUGAUCCAGCAAUGCCGCGUGAGUGAUGAAGGCCUUAGGGUUGUAAAGCUCUUUUACCCGGGAUGAUAAUGACAGUACCGGGAGAAUAAGCUCCGGCUAACUCCGUG
rnacentral:rRNA from 1 species